rnacentral:rRNA from 1 species
UACAGAGGGUGCGAGCGUUGUCCGGAAUCACUGGGCGUAAAGGGCGCGUAGGUGGCGACCCAAGUCCGUGGUGAAAGCUCGUCGCUUAACGACGAGUCGGCCACGGAGACUGGGUGGCUUGAGCACUGUAGGGGCUAAUGGAAUUCCGGGUGUAGCGGUGGAAUGCGUAGAGAUCCGGAAGAACACCAGUGGCGAAGGCGGUUAGCUGGGCAGUUGCUGACGCUGAGGCGCGACAGCGUGGGGAGCAAACAGG